GCGCCCGUAGCUCAAUUGGAUAGAGCAACAGACUUCGGAUCUGUAGGCUUGGGGUUCGAGUCCCUUCGGGCGCACCA
rnacentral:tRNA from 1 species